UACGGGGGGAGCAAGCGUUGUUCGGAUUUACUGGGCGUAAAGGGCGCGUAGGCGGUCAGCACAAGUCAGUUGUGAAAUCUCCGGGGCUUAACUCGGAAAGGUCAACUGAUACUGUGCGACUAGAGUGCAGAAGGGGCAACUGGAAUUCUCGGUGUAGCGGUGAAAUGCGUAGAUAUCGAGAGGAACACCUGCGGCGAAGGCGGGUUGCUGGGCUGACACUGACGGCUGGAUGCGCGGAAAGCCAGGGGAGCGAACGGG
rnacentral:rRNA from 1 species